rnacentral:rRNA from 1 species
UAAGGAAUAUUGGUCAAUGGAGGCAACUCUGAACCAGCCAUGCCGCGUGCAGGAAGAAGGCCCUAUGGGUCGUAAACUGCUUUUGAACAAGAGAAAACCCCGGUACGUGUACUGGGUUGAUAGUAUUGUUAGAAUAAGCAUCGGCUAACUUCGUGCCAGCAGCCGCGGUAAGACGAAGGAUGCAAGCGUUAUCCGGAUUCAUUGGGUUUAAAGGGUGCGUAGGCGGACUGAUAAGUCAGUGGUGAAAUCUCUCGGCUUAACCGAGAAACUGCCAUUGAUACUGUUAGUCUAGAGUACAGAUGAUGUGGGCGGAAUAUGACAUGUAGUGGUGAAAUACUUAGAUAUGUCAUAGAACACCGAUUGCGAAGGCAGCUCACAAAACUGUAACUGACGCUGAGGCACGAAAGUGCGGGGAUCAAACGGGAUUAGAUACCCCCGUAGUCCCUGAGCGGGCUGGCAAGGCGCAU